GGUGCGGCGUGUGAUGCUGCCCCCGCGCUCUUACUGUUGCCGGCCCCACAGCGAAGCACUGCAGGAGAGGAGACUGAGAAGCCAGCCCUUGGUGCUGGGAGCUGACUGAGCUCUCAGGCUGUCAGGGGGCGGAGCCAAGCUCAGGCAGACGUUAAAGACAGAAGACCCACACUCCGGAGGAGCAGAGGUGACAUGAAGUGUUACGCGAUCUUUGUGUGUUAGUUGUCAUGGUGAUGGGGAGCACUGGACUAGGAUUUGAUUUGACCUGACGUCACUUCCUCCAUGCCGCCCGGAGCGGGCUGCGUCCCACCGUCCAAAUGUUGCCGAGCACAGGGUGAACAUGUCGUAUAUAAGACCCAGGCAUCAUCACCGAGGAUGCCCAGCAGGAACGUGACCAGGAGAACCUUCACACUCCACCUGCAGCCCAUCGAUCCGACUCAGACAACCACGCCGCAGGACAUACCCCAACCACCCCAAACAUCCCACAGCCCCCAAUUGAGCACAACACAAGUUGACACACAAAUGGGCCCUGAGUUUUGGAGCCGUUGGUCGUCACAACAGGCGCAAUACUGCGCAAGCCUCAACACCCACAGCCAAUACCUUUCAAGUCUGCCCCAUCAUUUGCCUAGACUGAGUCGCAACUCAGGCAGACUUAUAGUGCAGGUGGGCCGAAUUGCGAACUCCAUGGAACAGAUGAGGGCAGACAACACCCAAAUGCAGUCAAACCUCCAUAGCAUCUUGGAUGAUCAGCAGCAGCAGCAACAAUCACUUAUACAGAUCAUACAACACAAUCAAAUGAUCAACGACAACCUCUCACGCAUGAUAGCUAACAACACUGCCGCUAACACUCAGCUCAUAGCAAGCUUGAACAAUCUAAGCCAAAGCCUUAGUGUGUUGGCAUCACACCAUGCCACAUCUAGUUCUGGGACAACGACACCAAGCCACACCCCAGUUCAUUCCCCAGUCCGACGCUCAAGUUGAACCCGCACCAACGAGCCAGCACAAUCCUCGGCACCCAGCACACAAAGAAAAAAAUAUUAAUAAUGUUCGGUCAGAAUAUAUUGACCAUUACAGUGUUUUUUCUUUUAGAUUGGUCGCAAAAAGUUGUGUGUUAAAAUUGAUAAAUUGUGAACACGCAA